rnacentral:rRNA from 1 species
AUCGUAAGACCUUGCGCUAUUAGAUGAGCUUGCGUCCGAUUAGCUAUUUGGUGGGGUAAAGGCCUACCAAGGCGACGAUCGGUAACUGGUCUGAGAGGAUGAUCAGUCACACUGGAACUGAGACACGGUCCAGACUCCUACGGGAGGCAGCAGUGGGGAAUAUUGGACAAUGGGGGCAACCCUGAUCCAGCCAUGCCGCGUGUGUGAAGAAGGCCUUCGGGUUGUAAAGCACUUUAAGCGGGGAGGAAGGCCUGAUGGCUAAUAUCCAUCGGGAUUGACGUUACCCGCAGAAUAAGCACCGGCAAACUUCGUGCCAGCAGCCGCGGUAAUACGAAGGGUGCGAGCGUUAAUCGGAAUUACUGGGCGUAAAGCGCGCGUAGGUGGUUAAGUAAGCGAUCUGUGAAAGCCCCGGGCUUAACCUGGGAACUGCAGGUCGAACUGCUUGGCUAGAGUAUGGUAGAGGGGUGUGGAAUUUCCUGUGUAGCGGUGAAAUGCGUAGAUAUAGGAAGGAACAUCAGUGGC